GACGAACGCUGGCGGCGUGCUUAACACAUGCAAGUCGAACGUGAUUUUUAAGGAAAGCCCUUCGGGGUGGGAAUUAAAAUGAAAGUGGCGAACGGGUGAGUAACACGUGAGCAACCUACCUUACACAGGGGGAUAGCCGUUGGAAACGACGAUUAAUACCGCAUGAGACCACAGAAUCGCAUGAUAUAGGGGUCAAAGAUUUAUCGGUGUAAGAAGGGCUCGCGUCUGAUUAGCUAGUUGGAAGGGUAAAGGCCUACCAAGGCGACGAUCAGUAGCCGGUCUGAGAGGAUGAACGGCCACAUUGGAACUGAGACACGGUCCAAACUCCUACGGGAGGCAGCAGUGGGGAAUAUUGCACAAUGGGGGGAACCCUGGUGCAGCGACGCCGCGUGAGCGAAGAAGGUUUUCGAAUCGUAAAGCUCUGUCCUANGAGAAGAUAANGACGNU
rnacentral:rRNA from 1 species